CCUACGGGUGGCAGCAGUGGGGAAUAUUGCACAAUGGGCGCAAGCCUGACGCAGCCAUGCCGCGUGUGUGAAGAAGGCCUUCGGGUUGUAAAGCACUUUCAGCGGGGAGGAAGGCGGUGCGGUUAAUAACCUCAUCGAUUGACGUUACCCGCAGAAGAAGCACCGGCUAACUCCGUGCCAGCAGCCGCGGUAAUACGGAGGGUGCAAGCGUUAAUCGGAAUUACUGGGCGUAAAGCGCACGCAGGCGGUCUGUCAAGUCGGAUGUGAAAGCCCCGGGCUCAACCUGGGAACUGCAUUCGAAACUGGCAGGCUAGAGUCUUGUAGAGGGGGGUAGAAUUCCAGGUGUAGCGAUGAAAUGCGUAGAGAUCUGGAGGAAUACCGGUGGCGAAGGCGGCCCCCUGGACAAAGACUGACGCUCAGGUGCGAAAGCGUGGGGAGCAAACAGGAUUAGAUACCCGAGUAGUC
rnacentral:rRNA from 1 species